UAACACGUGAGCAACCUGCCCUUGACUCUGGAAUAACAGUUGGAAACAGCUGCUAAUACUGGAUAUUCAUCGUUCCCUUCCUGGGGGGUGGUGGAAAGCUCCGGCGGUCAGGGAUGGGCUCGCGGCCUAUCAGCUUGUUGGUGAGGUAAUGGCUCACCAAGGCUUCGACGGGUAGCCGGCCUGAGAGGGCGACCGGCCACACUGGGACUGAGAUACGGCCCAGACUCCUACGGGAGGCAGCAGUGGGGAAUAUUGCACAAUGGGCGCAAGCCUGAUGCAGCAACGCCGCGUGCGGGAUGACGGCCUUCGGGUUGUAAACCGCUUUCAGUAGGGACGAAGGGUGACUGACGGUACCUACAGAAGAAGGACCGGCUAACUACGUGCCAGCAGCCGCGGUGAUACGUAGGGUCCGAGCGUUGUCCGGAAUUAUUGGGCGUAAAGGGCUUGUAGGCGGUCCGUCGCGUCAGAAGUGAAAACUCAGGGCUUAACCCUGAGCCUGCUUUUGAUACGGGCGGACUAGAGGGAUGCAGGGGAGAACGGAAUUCCUGGUGGAGCGGUGGAAUGCGCAGAUAUCA
rnacentral:rRNA from 1 species